AGCCCUCCUCCGUGUCGUCGCCACAGCAACCCGGGGCUCUAAUCUGCUGAAUAUGAAUAGAAGAAACAGAAAGAGAAAAGCCAUCCACCCCCUUCUGCUCCAUCCAUGAGUCCAAAAGAGGGAUACCGUCUCCAAGCAUUCCUGAUAAUCCCCCAGCCAUCGCCCAGGCAACAGUCACAGGGAACUGGCACGGCCUGGGGCGAGAAAGCAGUCCCUGUCUCAUAUCCAGCAGUGAAAGCUCUCAUUUGUCUCCCCACCAUCAUGUUGAUGCAGCUGGGUUUGACACUGCUUACCUCAGCAGUUGAAAGACAGAAGGCUUCCUUGUGAUCCCAGCCUUUUCCUAUCAAAUGACACUCAGCCAUGGUUUGGGUGACUUAUUUACUGGCAACGGACCAGUAAAAACAAAAAUGAACGUUCACAACUAAUAAAUCCUUGAGCUUAGAUAGCUACAGCAACAGUGGUGGGAUUACACUGAAAGGAACUAUUUUUAUAGAGGACAUGAGGUCAAGAAUGUUUAGCAAACAAAAUUGAAUGUCAUCUACUCCUAGAUAAUUCUCCAAGGACCUUCCUCCUCCCAGGCCCUUACUGAAAGUGAGGGCAUCUCU
rnacentral:lncRNA from 1 species